rnacentral:rRNA from 1 species
CGCGCAGGCGGACCGGUAAGUCAGAUGUGAAAUCCCGAGGCUUAACUUCGGGCCUGCAUUUGAUACUGUCGGUCUUGAGUACGAGAGAGGAAAGCGGAAUCCCAGGUGGAGCGGUGAAAUGCGUAGAUAUCUGGGAGAACACCGGUGGCGAAGGCGGCUUUCUGGCUCGAUACUGACGCUCAGGCGCGAAGGCUAGGGGAGCAAACA